UCCCGUUUGACACGGGCAGUCCCUCUAGAGUGCCCAACUAAAUGCUGGCAACUAAGGUUAAGGGUUGCGCUCGUUGCGGGACUUAACCCAACAUCUCACGACACGAGCUGACGACAACCAUGCACCACCUGUCACUGCUGUCCCCGAAGGGAAAGGCAUAUCUCUAUGCCGGGCAGCGGGAUGUCAAGACCUGGUAAGGUUCUUCGCGUAGCUUCGAAUUAAACCACAUGCUCCACCGCUUGUGCGGGUCCCCGUCAAUUCCUUUGAGUUUCAGCCUUGCGGCCGUACUCCCCAGGUGCAGGACUUAACGCGUUAGCUCCGGGACGCUCCACGAACGUGAAGCACCCCGAGUCCUGAUCGUUUAGGGCUAGGACUAC
rnacentral:misc_RNA from 1 species